UACGUAGGCAGCGAGCGUUGUUCGGAGUUACUGGGCGUAAAGGGUGCGCAGGCGGUGGAGCAAGUCUGUUGUGAAAUCUCCCGGCUCAACCGGGAGGGUGCGGCGGAAACUGUUCUGCUGGAGUGAGGGAGAGGCAAGCGGAAUUCCUGGUGUAGCGGUGAAAUGCGUAGAUAUCAGGAGGAACACCCGUGGUGCAGACGGCUUGCUGGACCUCUACUGACGCUGAGGCACGAAAGCGUGGGGAGCAAACAGG
rnacentral:rRNA from 1 species